rnacentral:rRNA from 1 species
CCUGGUUCAGAGCGAACGCUGGCGGCAGGCCUAACACAUGCAAGUCGAACGGACCCUUCGGGGUUAGUGGCGGACGGGUGAGUAACACGUGGGAACGUGCCUUUAGGUUCGGAAUAGCUCCUGGAAACGGGUGGUAAUGCCGAAUGUGCCCUUCGGGGGAAAGAUUUAUCGCCUUUAGAGCGGCCCGCGUCUGAUUAGCUAGUUGGUGAGGUAAUGGCUCACCAAGGCGACGAUCAGUAGCUGGUCUGAGAGGAUGACCAGCCACAUUGGGACUGAGACACGGCCCAAACUCCUACGGGAGGCAGCAGUGGGGAAUCUUGCGCAAUGGGCGAAAGCUUGACGCAGCCAUGCCGCGUGAAUGAUGGAGGUCUUAGGAUUGUAAAAUUCUUUCACCGGGGACGAUAAUGACGGUACCCGGAGAAGAAGCCCCGGCUAACUUCGUGCCAGCAGCCGCGGUAAUACGAAGGGGGCUAGCGUUGCUCGGAAUUACUGGGCGUAAAGGGCGCGUAGGCGGACAUUUAAGUCAGGGGUGAAAUCCCAGAGCUCA